rnacentral:rRNA from 1 species
GUGCCUAUACAUGCAAGUCGAACGCACAGCGAAAGGUGCUUGCACCUUUCAAGUGAGUGGCGAACGGGUGAGUAACACGUGGACAACCUGCCUCAAGGCUGGGGAUAACAUUUGGAAACAGAUGCUAAUACCGAAUAAAACUUAGUGUCGCAUGACAAAAAGUUAAAAGGCGCUUCGGCGUCACCUAGAGAUGGAUCCGCGGUGCAUUAGUUAGUUGGUGGGGUAAAGGCCUACCAAGACAAUGAUGCAUAGCCGAGUUGAGAGACUGAUCGGCCACAUUGGGACUGAGACACGGCCCAAACUCCUACGGGAGGCUGCAGUAGGGAAUCUUCCACAAUGGGCGAAAGCCUGAUGGAGCAACGCCGCGUGUGUGAUGAAGGCUUUCGGGUCGUAAAGCACUGUUGUAUGGGAAGAACAGCUAGAAUAGGAAAUGAUUUUAGUUUGACGGUACCAUACCAGAAAGGGACGGCUAAAUACGUGCCAGCAGCCGCGGUAAUACGUAUGUCCCGAGCGUUAUCCGGAUUUAUUGGGCGUAAAGCGAGCGCAGACGGUUUAUUAAGUCUGAUGUGAAAGCCCGGAGCUCAACUCCGGAAUGGCAUUGGAAACUGGUUAACUUGAGUGCAGUAGAGGUAAGUGGAACUCCAUGUGUAGCGGUGGAAUGCGUAGAUAUAUGGAAGAACACCAGUGGCGAAGGCGGCUUACUGGACUGCAACUGACGUUGAGGCUCGAAAGUGUGGGUAGCAAACAGGAUUAGAUACCCUGGUAGUCCACACCGUAAACGAUGAACACUAGGUGUUAGGAGGUUUCCGCCUCUUAGUGCCGAAGCUAACGCAUUAAGUGUUCCGCCUGGCGAGUACGACCGCAAGGUUGAUACUCAAAGGAAUUGACGGCGACCCGCACAAGCGGUGGAGCAUGUGGUUUAAUUCGAAGCAACGCGAAGAACCUUACCAGGUCUUGACAUCCUUUGAAGCUUUAGAGAUAGAAGUGUUCUCUUCGGAGACAAAGUGACAGGUGGUGCAUGGUCGUCGUCAGCUCGUGUCGUGAGAUGUUGGGUUAAGUCCCGCAACGAGCG